AGGAGGAAAGAAGGACAGAAGUAGUAGGCAAGGAGCAGGCAAUCCCAGCACGGCCUCGUGGCAGAGCUGGCUCAGGCACUGCCCUGCUUAUACUAAUACCAAUGGCUAGCUUCCAAGGUUUCUGAAUUGCACUGAAUGAAAGAGAGCCAUGGAAGGGUCAGAAAAGUUCAUAAAUGACUGCAGUAUUUCAGCAUCAUAGAGACGGCAAAGGUUUUUCUUAGUUAAAAACACAACUCAUAAAACAAGACAACUACCAGGUAAGAAAGUUUUGAAAAAGUAAACACCAUAUACACUUAUAAUACAACAGUGUAAAAUGAAAAAAAGUAUUUACAUGUUGAAUUUACUUUUUUUUUUUUUUACAUUGGCUAGUUCUGUUUCAAAAGCAGAAUAUUAUGUAUACUAGUUAGCUGCUCCAUAGAUAUGAAUGUUAUUGCUGUUGGUUUUUUUUCCCUUCGUUAAAUCUUCUUUCAAUAAGAAACAGUGAGUAAUUAAACUGAAUAUACAAUUAUCUAGCUAAUAUACUUUUAAGUACAGGGAGAGUCAACAGCCUAUAUAAAACACCUCUUCUCCCUUCUUAAAUUCUUAAAGGAAACUAAACAGCAGAUGCAAUGAGAGAGGAUGCAGUGUUGCAGUUUCUACACCUCCUGCAGACCUGGGUGCAAAUGGAAUGCAGCAGUGGCCCAGUAACAGGUAAGAGUGAUUCCAUCUCGAAGGGCUAAUGUAACUGUUUUAGUGCAAUGCAAUGGCGCAUACAUAGAAAUUACACACAGAACUCCCUCACCUGGAGGGACCAUUACAGAAGCUUCUCCGGCAAGUGUUACCAGCAUUGUUAAUUGUAUGGUCUUGAACAUAUUCAGAUAUCCCCUUUCUCAGAUUUGUUAAUUUAUAAUUCCUACCCAGGAAUUCUGACCUAAAAAAAAAUCUGGCGUGCUCUCCUGAGAUGUCAUGAUACUCCUGUUUGGUCAAUGAAAAAUGCCUUUUGGAAAGACAUAAAAUAAUUGAAAAUCAAAUCCCAUCAUCCAAAAUUCUCCUAUCAGUUGCUGGUGUAGAUAGUUUGUUCUCAUGGUCUUGCAUCCUUCUUUAAAUUUCAUUUCUUCUCGCUAACUUUAAACCCCAAUUCAGAAUGCCUUUGCAGGAGAUCAUUUUCUCUUAAAUUAAAACUAUUUAGCACUUGGCACUACCUUGAAACAUGGUUAAGUUCGGCGCUAGAGGCUAUACUCAACAAAUAUAUCAUAAUGCAUAUCAAAUGAAAAAUCAGAACUUUGCAAACAAAGUUUGCAUUUUCAGUAGUGAAUUUUCUUCCAUGCAAAUCUUGUCCCAGUUCAGGGGGAAAGUGACAUGACUUGAUGCUGUUUCUUGAUAAAGCCACUCGC